rnacentral:rRNA from 1 species
CCUACGGGAGGCAGCAGUGGGGAAUUUUGGACAAUGGGCGAAAGCCUGAUCCAGCCAUUCCGCGUGCAGGAUGAAGGCCCUCGGGUUGUAAACUGCUUUUGUACAGAACGAAAAGGUUUCUACUAAUACUAGGAGCUCAUGACGGUACUGUAAGAAUAAGCACCGGCUAACUACGUGCCAGCAGCCGCGGUAAUACGUAGGGUGCAAGCGUUAAUCGGAAUUACUGGGCGUAAAGCGUGCGCAGGCGGUUAUAUAAGUCAGAUGUGAAAUCCCCGGGCUCAACCUGGGAACUGCAUUUGAGACUGUAUAGCUAGAGUACGGUAGAGGGGGAUGGAAUUCCGCGUGUAGCAGUGAAAUGCGUAGAUAUGCGGAGGAACACCGAUGGCGAAGGCAAUCCCCUGGACCUGUACUGACGCUCAUGCACGAAAGCGUGGGGAGCAAACAGGAUUAGAUACCCUGGUAGUCCACGCCCUAAACGAUGUCAACUGGUUGUUGGGUCUUAACUGACUCAGUAACGAAGCUAACGCGUGAAGUUGACCGCCUGGGGAGUAACGGCCGCAAGGUUGAAACUUCAAAGGAAUUGACGGNUGAGAGNGCGAGAGACACGAGGAGGAGG